rnacentral:rRNA from 1 species
UACGUAGGGUGCGAGCGUUGUCCGGAAUUAUUGGGCGUAAAGAGCUUGUAGGCGGUUUGUCGCGUCUGCUGUGAAAUUCCAGGGCUUAACCCUGGGCUUGCAGUGGGUACGGGCAGACUAGAGUGUGGUAGGGGAGACUGGAAUUCCUGGUGUAGCGGUGAAAUGCGCAGAUAUCAGGAGGAACACCGAUGGCGAAGGCAGGUCUCUGGGCCACUACUGACGCUGAGAAGCGAAGCAUGGGGAGCGAACAGG